GGGUUGUGAGGUUAAGCGACUAAGCGUACACGGUGGAUGCCUAGGCAGUCAGAGGCGAUGAAGGGCGUGCUAAUCUGCGAAAAGCGUCGGUAAGGUGAUAUGAACCGUUACAACCGACGAUACCCGAAUGGGGGAAACCCAGUGCAAUUCGUUGCACUAUUGCAUGGUGAAUACAUAGCCAUGCAAGGCGAACCGGGGGAACUGAAACAUCUAAGUACCCCGAGGAAAAGAAAUCAACCGAGAUUCCCCCAGUAGCGGCGAGCGAACGGGGAGGAGCCCAGAGUCUGAAUCAGUUUGUGUGUUAGUGGAAGCGUCUGGAAAGUCGCAGGGUACAGGGUGAUACUCCCGUACACAAAAACACACUUGCUGUGAACUCGAUGAGUAGGGCGGGACACGUGACAUCCUGUCUGAAUAUGGGGGGGACCAUCCUCCAAGGCUAAAUACUCCUGACUGACCGAUAGUGAACCAGUACCGUGAGGGAAAGGCGAAAAGAACCCCGGCGAGGGGGAGUGAAAUAGAACCUGAAACCGUGUACGUACAAGCAGUGGGAGCACCUUCGUGGUGUGACUGCGUACCUUUUGUAUAAUGGGUCAGCGACUUAUAUUUUGUAGCAAGGUUAACCGAAUAGGGGAGCCGUAGGGAAACCGAGUCUUAACUGGGCGUCUAGUUGCAAGGUAUAGACCCGAAACCCGGUGAUCUAGCCAUGGGCAGGUUGAAGGUUGGGUAACACUAACUGGAGGACCGAACCGACUAAUGUUGAAAAAUUAGCGGAUGACUUGUGGCUGGGGGUGAAAGGCCAAUCAAACCGGGAGAUAGCUGGUUCUCCCCGAAAGCUAUUUAGGUAGCGCCUCGUGAACUCAUCUUCGGGGGUAGAGCACUGUUUCGGCUAGGGGGUCAUCCCGACUUACCAAACCGAUGCAAACUCCGAAUACCGAAGAAUGUUAUCACGGGAGACACACGGCGGGUGCUAACGUCCGUCGUGAAGAGGGAAACAACCCAGACCGCCAGCUAAGGUCCCAAAGUCAUGGUUAAGUGGGAAACGAUGUGGGAAGGCAUAGACAGCCAGGAUGUUGGCUUAGAAGCAGCCAUCAUUUAAAGAAAGCGUAAUAGCUCACUGGUCGAGUCGGCCUGCGCGGAAGAUGUAACGGGGCUAAACCAUGCACCGAAGCUGCGGCAGCGACACUUAGGUGUUGUUGGGUAGGGGAGCGUUCUGUAAGCCGUUGAAGGUGACCUGUGAGGGUUGCUGGAGGUAUCAGAAGUGCGAAUGCUGACAUAAGUAACGAUAAUGCGGGUGAAAAGCCCGCACGCCGGAAGACCAAGGGUUCCUGUCCAACGUUAAUCGGGGCAGGGUGAGUCGACCCCUAAGGCGAGGCUGAAAAGCGUAGUCGAUGGGAAACAGGUUAAUAUUCCUGUACUUGGUGUUACUGCGAAGGGGGGACGGAGAAGGCUAGGCUAGCCGGGCGACGGUUGUCCCGGUUUAAGCAUGUAGGCGGAGUGACUUGGUAAAUCCGGUUGCUUAUCAACGCUGAGGUGUGAUGACGAGCCACUACGGUGGUGAAGUAGUUGAUGCCAAGCUUCCAGGAAAAGCCUCUAAGCAUCAGGUAACAUUAAAUCGUACCCCAAACCGACACAGGUGGUCAGGUAGAGAAUACUCAGGCGCUUGAGAGAACUCGGGUGAAGGAACUAGGCAAAAUGGUGCCGUAACUUCGGGAGAAGGCACGCUGGCAUUAGGUAAAGAGACUUGCUCUCGGCGCCGAAGCCAGUCGCAGAUACCAGCUGGCUGCAACUGUUUAAUAAAAACACAGCACUGUGCAAACACGAAAGUGGACGUAUACGGUGUGACGCCUGCCCGGUGCUGGAAGGUUAAUUGAUGGGGUCAGCCGCAAGGCGAAGCUCUUGAUCGAAGCCCCAGUAAACGGCGGCCGUAACUAUAACGGUCCUAAGGUAGCGAAAUUCCUUGUCGGGUAAGUUCCGACCUGCACGAAUGGCGUAAUGAUGGCCAGGCUGUCUCCACCCGAGACUCAGUGAAAUUGAACUCGCUGUGAAGAUGCAGUGUACCCGCGGCAAGACGGAAAGACCCCGUGAACCUUUACUAUAGCUUGACACUGAACAUUGAGCCUUGAUGUGUAGGAUAGGUGGGAGGCAUCGAAGCGUGGACGCCAGUCUGCGUGGAGCCAACCUUGAAAUACCACCCUUUAAUGUUUGAUGUUCUAACUCGGCCCCGUAAUCCGGGGUGAGGACAGUGUCUGGUGGGUAGUUUGACUGGGGCGGUCUCCUCCCAAAGAGUAACGGAGGAGCACGAAGGUUAGCUAAUCACGGUCGGACAUCGUGAGGUUAGUGCAAAGGCAUAAGCUAGCUUGACUGCGAGAGUGACGGCUCGAGCAGGUACGAAAGUAGGUCUUAGUGAUCCGGUGGUUCUGAAUGGAAGGGCCAUCGCUCAACGGAUAAAAGGUACUCCGGGGAUAACAGGCUGAUACCGCCCAAGAGUUCAUAUCGACGGCGGUGUUUGGCACCUCGAUGUCGGCUCAUCACAUCCUGGGGCUGAAGUAGGUCCCAAGGGUAUGGCUGUUCGCCAUUUAAAGUGGUACGCGAGCUGGGUUUAGAACGUCGUGAGACAGUUCGGUCCCUAUCUGCCGUGGGCGUUGGAAGAUUGAGAGGGGCUGCUCCUAGUACGAGAGGACCGGAGUGGACGAAUCACUGGUGUUCGGGUUGUCAUGCCAAUGGCAUUGCCCGGUAGCUAAAUUCGGAAGAGAUAACCGCUGAAAGCAUCUAAGCGGGAAACUUGCCUCGAGAUGAGUCUUCCCUGGGGCUUUAAGCCCCCUGAAGGAACGUUAAAGACUAUGACGUUGAUAGGCUGGGUGUGUAAGUGCAGCGAUGCAUUGAGCUAACCAGUACUAAUGAUCCGUGAGGCUUAACCUUACAACACCGAAGGUGUUU
rnacentral:rRNA from 1 species